rnacentral:rRNA from 1 species
GGUAGAGAAGCGAAAGCGGAUGACCUUCGGGAGCUGUACAGGUGCUGCAUGGCUGUCGUCAGCUCGUGUCGUGAGAUGUUCGGUUAGUCCGCUAACGAGCGCAACCCUCGCUGUGUGUUACAAGUGUCACACGGAACUGCCGGUCAUAAACCGGAGGAAGGUGGGGAUGACGUCAAGUCAGCAUGGCCUUUAUAUCCUGGGCUACACACACGCUACAAUGGGAAGGGACAAUAGGUUGCGAAGCCGCGAGGCGGAGCCAAUCCAGCAAAACUUUCCUCAGUUCAGAUUGCAGGCUGCAACUCGCCUGCAUGAAGUUGGAGUUGCUAGUAAACGCAGGUCAGCCAUACUGCGUUGAAUACGUUCCCGGGGCUU